GGGAGUGGCAAGCGUUAUCCGGAAUUAUUGGGCGUAAAGCGUCCGCAGGCGGCCCUUCAAGUCUGCUGUUAAAAAGUGGAGCUUAACUCCAUCAUGGCAGUGGAAACUGUUGGGCUUGAGUGUGGUAGGGGCAGAGGGAAUUCCGGUGUAGCGGUGAAAUGCGUAGAUAUCGGGAAGAACACCAGUGGCGAAGGCGCUCUCUGGGGCCAUCACUGACGCUCAUGGACGAAAGCCAGGGGAGCGAAAGGGAUUAGAUACCCCUGUAGUCCUGGCCGUAAACGAUGA
rnacentral:rRNA from 1 species